AUCCCUGUGACGCAGCGGCUAGCGUGUCGUUCUUAUAAUUGCUCCAGCGGAGCAGAUUAUGCAGUUAUGCGAAAGUCGCGAGUUCGAAUCUCGCUAGGGAUA
rnacentral:tRNA from 1 species